CAGGUGAAUAACUAAGGCUGUCGUCAACAAUGUGUGUGUUUGUUUGCCUCAUGAGGAAGAGACCAAGACUUUACCAGCAUAGACUUACUCUGCUUUCCUGAGGUCAGGAGUCCAAUAGCAACCACUACCUCUUCCUAGGACUGUAAAACAUGUCUUACUUAAAGAUAAUAAAUGACUGAAAAUAGAAUAAUCAUUAAAGAAAUAUUAAGGCCACUUUUUAGCCUAGGCCAA
rnacentral:lncRNA from 1 species